rnacentral:ncRNA from 2 species
AGCACCCACGUGGGAGAGACCGUCCUGGCGUAGCCGGGUCGGCGCCGAAGGGGCAAAUCCUCCCCGGAACCUCUCAGGCAAAAGGACCGCGUGGCGUCA